rnacentral:rRNA from 1 species
AUUGAACGCUGGCGGCAGGCUUAACACAUGCAAGUCGAACGAGUGGCGUACGUGUGAGUAAUGCUUGGGACUCUAGCUUAUGGCGGGGGAUCACUACGGGAAACUGUAGCUAAUACCGCAUACCAUAGGAUGAGCCCAAGUGGGAUUAGGUAGUUGGUGAGGUAAAGGGUCACCAAGCCCACGAUCUCGAGCGGGUAUGAGGGGAUGACCAGCCACACUGGGAUUGAGACACGGUCCAGACUCCUACGGGAGGCAGCAGUGGGGAAUAUUGCGCAAUGGGGGCAACCUGACGCAGCCAUGCCGCGUGAAUGAAGAAGGCCUGCGGGUUGUAAAGUACUUUCGGUAGCGAGGCGUUAACUACAGAAGAAGCACCGGCUAACUCCGUGCCAGCAGCCGCGGUAAUUC